CCCACUGGACUAGAGGGUCUACAGACAACCCAAAUCCCAUCUUGUCCAUCACUGAGUUCCCAACACCUAGCACAUAAUUGAUGGGAAGUGACUAUUACUUCUAUAUUUUCACUUUUAAUGGCAGAAAAAAAAAGAAUAUUUUACUUGACUGUUUUAGCUUUUCAAAAAGCAACCUGUCCGCUGUGUUCUGUGAGAAGUAAGGCUAAGGGCUUUCAUUAAAGCGUGGGAAUCGCCAGUCACCCCGGCUUUUCCACUAAUCAUUGGCCCAUCUUUUCAGUUGUGCAAUGAACUCCAAGAAACUUAAUUUUCCAAUUAGACUUGCCUCCAACAACAAACAAAAGAAGAGAAAGAGAAAAAAAGAAAAGAAAUACUUUCAAUAGAAUUCCUUGCUGACACCUAAAUUUAGCUGCCUAAUAUCUACCUGGGCAAAGUGUAGUUACUUGUAGGCGGUAAAUUAUCACAUCAUAAAACUGUCUAGUGGGAUUCUAGCUGUUUGAGGUGUUAAAUUCCCAUGUCACCUUCAAAGAAAACGACUUUUGACAUUCGCUUCUUAGAAGGCAGGUACUAACACAGGCAGGACUAGCCUGAGGCAAAAUUGAAAAGUGGGGAGAUUGUGGGUUAUCUGCUUCUCCCCUCACCACAGCUCCCCUUUUGCCCCUCUCUGGAAUCUGCUGUUCCGGACACUUGCCGCUUCCCAGCACCUGGCCUGGACUUAACGUUAGUCAUCUACACUGAGCUACAAAUGGCUGUGAUUCUUAGCAACAUGUCCUUCUCUGAAUCUGUACAUUUUCACAGGAUCAGUGACAUCAGGUGCUUCUCAAAUUUUAGCAAUCAUUAGAAUCACCUGGAACACUAUCAGAACUCAGACUGCCAGGUAUGACCUAAUAUUCCCUUCAGGUAGUUCUGGGCGGAGCCUCCUUAUUUGUAUUUUUUUUAACAAGUUCUCAGAUAUUGAUGAUGAUGGUGAUGAUAAUGAUGAUGCUGGUGGUGGUGGUGAUGAUGAUGAUGAUGAUGAUGAUGACGACGACGACGAUGUAUAGGAACCAUCCUUUGGAACCACGAAAUUAGCAGUAGUUACCCACCAGGUUUCCUGUGGCAGAUGCUUCUGCAGGGGAGCUCUGUCUCUGAAGUCUGCAGAAGGGCAUGAAAGACAAUGCACCUGCCAAUGACAGGGUUUCCAGCUUUGGGACUCUGAAUAAAACUUCGGUCACAAAAUAAAUUCUUUGCUCAUAGGCUACCUUGCGAAGAAGUUGUUGCUUCACAGUCUGCACAAGCCAUCGGGCAGGUUCUUGGAAACUUCGGGGAGUUUGGUGGAUCAACUUGACCAUGGACUUCACACUUGUCAUUUUACCCCCAACUCCAACUUAUUCUUUUUGUUAGACAAAAGUCUACCACAAAAAAGAAAUGAGAAAAAGGAAUUAGAUCCAAUCUUCUAAA